rnacentral:rRNA from 1 species
UACGUAGGGGGCCAGCGUUGUCCGGAAUCAUUGGGCGUAAAGCGCGCGUAGGCGGCCAGAUAAGUCCGGUGUGAAAGUCAAAGGCUCAACCUUUGAAUGCCGCUGGAAACUGUCUGGCUUGAGUCCGGAAGGGGCGAGUGGAAUUCCUGGUGUAGCGGUGAAAUGCGCAGAUAUCAGGAGGAACACCAAUGGCGAAGGCAGCUACCUGGACAGAAACUGACGCUGAGGCACGAAAGCUAGGGGAGCAAACAGG